UUAAUCGUUGAUUGUAUAAAA
rnacentral:piRNA from 1 species